AAAGGAUGAAAAACUUGGUGGUGGUUUGGCAAUGUCAGGAACAUCAGUGUCCUAUCAAUGUCAACGAUAGGGAAAUGUUCAGCUUCAAGUGAUAAAAUUAGGCUGUGGGUGUGAUGUCACCUGGAAGGGUAUUACACUCCUCAAGUCCAAUCACACCAGUGAUCUGCUUUGAGAAGGGCAGUGAGAGGAGGAAGAGAGUAGUGGUUCUCCCUUGCCAGCCCCAAGUCUGCUGUUACCAGUCACAGCAGUGGAAGGAAACCAUGGCAUCUACUAUACAGCAUCAUCUACCCAUGCAGAAGCCUAGCAGCUUCCACCAGCUUUCUGCACUUGCAACCACCUCGGGACGCUGACAACAACGCCUUCCUGUCUGCCUCCGAGGCCAACUCGGAGCUAGGAAUUGUCUCAGCAACAAUUAUAUUAAUAUCGGAGCUAGGAAUGAGCUGAUGGAAAGCUGUUCAUCCAUGUAAUGAGGUUUCACUUGUAUUUUAGAAAUGUGUCAGAUAAUUUGGUAAGAGACAGCAGAGCUUUUUUCUGUUUGUCAAGAGAUAGGGGAGGUAGAAGGCGAGUUCCUUAGCUUCAAUUGCAAUGUGAGAAAUGUAAUCUGUACAAGAGAUGCUCAAGGCAGAUAAGCAAAUGUGGAGGGAGUGGUGACAGUGAGAGAAGCCCAGGACGGGACAUGGCAGGAAGGGGAGAGUGGACCAUAAACACCCAUAAACAAUUGUCAUCUCGCAGUGAGCAAUCACAUAGGAUGCAUCAAGCAUUAUCUACACUAUUUCAUUUAAAUAACACAGCUCUAUAACGUAGGUGUUAACCCCAUUUGGCAGGGGGUUCAGAAGGUGAAUUGUGAAUUCCAAUGCAUAUCUUCAUAAUUCCAAAGUAUGAUUUUAUGAUGACCUGACAUUAUGCUAUAUUCCUGGAUUAAAAAAUCCUUAAUUGGCAUGUGUUUGGUGUGGAACUCCGAGGUCUAUUUUAUAGACAGGGAAAAAUGUACUCAAAGCUAGUAAAGAGUACUUUUUUCCCAUCAAGCUCAGGUGAAUCUCAGUGUUACAUGUUCCUGUGAUGUUUGUGAGAUCUGAGACCAGUGCUCUCAAGUAUGGCAUAUGUAAUGACUUUUAAAAGGCACACAGAGAC
ensembl:lncRNA